UCCCUCGCUAUAUGUAAGAUCCGUCUGUAUAAAUAUAGAGAUGAGUACGUGUUCGUCGACUAAUCUCGGUAUAGAAACACAUCGGGCUAACGAUCGAUGGAGCAGAGCCGCCGCCGUCGUCGAGCUCCACGUCAACCAGCUAUGGACCAGGCGCCAACUCCUUCAACUGCUUCCAGCAUCCGUGCCCCCAAUCCAAGGUCACCCGCAGCGACGAGAGGACGUAUUCGCCAGAGCCUUCUCUAUUCAGAUCGCCCCAGGUGAUCCAGGAGAGCUACUUCAGAUAAGCUACCGGUUGAGGAGCAUGCGGAUGAGGUAAGUAGCAGGGAGUUUGAAGCCCUCACACUUGAUCAAUCACGCCCUACGCCUGAGUCAACUCAUAGGCAAGCUGGAAAUGCAACCCAUGUUCGGCAAAGUGUUCUAUAUUCAGGCCGCCUCAGGCGGUCCCGUGGCAGACGAGAACAAGAACCAUCACCGGAUGAGCUACUGGUUGAGAAGAAUGCUAGCAAGGUGAGUGGCGGUGAGGGACCUAUAAUUACAGAUCUACCUGAAUUAACUCAAAGGGUUGAGAAGAAUGCUGGCAAGGUGAGCGACAUUGAGGGUCCUGCAGUUAAAGCUCCGUCGGUUAAGGAGGAUGCCAGUGAGGUUCGCAAUAGGGAGUUUAAAGCACCGACACUUGGUCAGUCACUUGACUCACUUCCUACAUGUAACCCAACUCAAAGGU